GCCACGAUGCGGAUGGGGGGAAAUGGCCUACGGAGAGUGGAUCUAGGAGUCUACCACGCACAAGGGGAGGAGGGGGAUGGCCUGGCCACGACGAGUAGAUCGUCUAGUCGCAACUCGAGCUGAGGGAGACAUGGUUGAGCCACGCAAAAGAUCGAGGACAGCUCAUCUAGGGCCUCCUCCCUAGCGGCUUGGCCCAGGUCCCGCUGAGGCUGCGCCGAGUCUGCGACGCCAUGCUUGGAGUGGAUGGAGUUGGUUGUGGACAAAAAUGGCAACGACGCUGAAGGGGAGGAGGAGAAGUGCCUCGACGUGGUUGCCCAGUCCCUUAUCGAACUUGAGGGAGACGCCACCACGAUGAAACCCAUCAAAAGAUCGAGGACAGCCGCAUCCCGUGCCUCCUCCCUAGCAGCUCGGCCUGGAUCUCGCUGAGAUCAUGCUUGGAGCAGAUGGAGCUGGUGUUGGAAGCGAACCAUGAUGACACUGAAGGGGAGGAUGGGGACAACCUGGACAUGCUUGUGAAGUCCCAUCUCAACCUCUGGGGAGACGCCACCACAACGACGCCCAUCAAACGGGAUUCUUAAGUCAUAAAGUCAAUGCUUGAUUCUACUAUUUUCCUUGGAGCUACUGAAUGGUUCAAGAAAAGCAAAUGGAGGAAGCAGUGACUAUCAAGAACACUGAGAUGGCAGAACAAUUGUCACUUCGAGCAGUUAAGAUCCACUUGUAGUAUGCUUGCUGAAAAUGCAAUUAAGGUUGUUGUGAAAGAUCAUGAAGCAGUGGAGCUGGGAGACCUACAGAAAAGGCGCAUGAACAAGAAGUUCCCACCAUGAAGGGUCCGAAGAGCUAAUCUUCAGGGUCAUGUACAGCCAUAUGACCUUCUGGCUCGAUGAGGGCUUCACUGUCGCCGCCGUGGCCCAACGCUGCGCUCAUUUAUGAGACCUUCGUCUUCACCCCCAGCUUCUUCACCAAAAACAACUCCAAUCAGUUGGACGAGCUUUGAAAAAGGACAACAUGGGCGACUCCAAGUAUGUCGCCGUCGGAUCACGGUUCUGCUCCAAGGUCUUGCGUCGCUACUCAGUAUACGAAGGGAAAAGACUCAAGCAUGCAUGGGUGGGUCCCUUGCUCAUGUAGUCAUGUUCAUGGAUCUUGAUACGUGGAUAGGUUUUACUUAUUUGUUGGAUUUCUCUUCAUGGAUUCACAGAUCUCCUCCUAUACCUUUUGUUAGCUCAAACUCAAUUCAUGGGUGGAAACACACU